GGAAAGAUGCCGGAGUGGUCGAUCGGGACGGUCUCGAAAACCGUUGUACCCUUUGGGUACCCAGGGUUCGAAUCCCUGUCUUUCCG
rnacentral:tRNA from 1 species